rnacentral:rRNA from 1 species
GCCAGCAGCCAUAUCACCCUGCAGCUCACUGCUGGCAGCCCACUGGAGCUCAGCAGGUGUGAGCCUGGCCAGUACCUGGAUGGGAGACCUCCUGGGAAAGCUAAGGUUGCUGCUGGUA